rnacentral:rRNA from 1 species
UCCGUAGGGUGAACCUGCGGAGGGAUCAUUACUGAGUACUACACUCUCUACCCUUUGUGAACUAUUAUACCUGUUGCUUCGGCGGCGCCCGCAAGGGUGCCCGCCGGUCUCAUCAGAAUCUCUGUUUUCGAACCCGACGAUACUUCUGAGUGUUCUUAGCGAACUGUCAAAACUUUUAACAACGGAUCUCUUGGCUCCAGCAUCGAUGAAGAACGCAGCGAAACGCGAUAUGUAAUGUGAAUUGCAGAAUUCAGUGAAUCAUCGAAUCUUUGAACGCACAUGGCGCCUUCCAGUAUCCUGGGAGGCAUGCCUGUCCGAGCGUCGUUUCAACCCUCGAGCCCCUGUGGCCCGGCGUUGGGGAUCUGCCACGGCAGGCCCCUAAAACCAGUGGCGGACCCGAAGGGCCCUCUCCUUUGCGCAGUAGCAUUCGCCUCGCAUUGGGAGUCCUCGGCGUCCUGCCUCUAAACCCCCCACAAGUCCGCUUCGGCGGCACCAAGGUUGACCUCGGAUCAGGUAGGAAUACCCGCUGAACUUAAGCAUAUCAAUAAGCGGAGGAA